GAUGAACGCUAGCGGCAGGCCUAAUACAUGCAAGACGAACGGUAAGUUGAGUAGCAAUACUUAGCCAAGAGUGUCGUACGGGUGCGUAACACGUAUGCAACCUACCCUAUACAGGAGGAUAGCCUAGGGAAACCUGGAUUAACCCUUCAUAGUAUUAUUGGAUGGCAUCAUUUGAUAAUUAAAACUGAGGUGGUAUAGGAUGGGCAUGCGUCUGAUUAGUUAGUUGGCGGGGUAAGUGGCCCACCAAGACGAUGAUCAGUAGGGGUUCUGAGAGGAAGAUCCCCCACCACUGGCACUGAGAUACGGGCCAGACUCCUACGGGAGGCAGCAGUA
rnacentral:rRNA from 1 species